UACGUAGGGUGCAAGCGUUAAUCGGAAUACUGGGCGUAAAGCGUGCGCAGGCGGUUUUGUAAGUCUGACGUGAAAUCCCCGGGCUCAACCUGGGAAUUGCGUUGGAGACUGCAAGGCUGGAGUCUGGCAGAGGGGGGUAGAAUUCCACGUGUAGCAGUGAAAUGCGUAGAGAUGUGGAGGAACACCGAUGGCGAAGGCAGCCCCCUGGGUCAAGACUGACGCUCAUGCACGAAAGGCGUGGGGAGCAAACAGGAUUAA
rnacentral:rRNA from 1 species